rnacentral:lncRNA from 1 species
GGUGUCGCAGACACUAAAUCAGCAGGCAGUCAUGUUUUUCUGUGUUCUGAUCAACGCUGAAUAAACUUGUAAAUAAUGCUCUCCUGACUGCAACUUUUGGCUGUGCAUUUAUCUGCUGAUAGAGCGUGCAUGAGUCUGGAAUGUGGCAAGAUAUUUUCUAGAAACUCAUGUCGCUGCGUGCCUACGGGAGACUGAGAUGGAUCGUCCGGCAGACGGCUUGGGGGCCUUGAUGGACUUUAUCUCCCUGGCAGUAUCCCAACAACAGGUUUCGGGCCCAGAUUCACAGCACUUACAGGAGAGUAAGACUGCGACAGACUGCUGAAAGGUAUGUGGAGGAAAAGCGAAAGUAAGGCUUUUCUGUUUGCCGUGGCAAGGGCCUUUGAACUCCGGCAGAUUAAUGGAAAUGGGAGCCGCGCCAAAGGCCUCAAGAUUUAUGAGCUGCCGAGAUAAGACGUCUCUGAAGUGAAUAAGAUUCACGGCUCAAGUAGAAACCUGGAAUGGAGUUUUUCCAGGCUUCUGAGGCUGCUGAGUGCCCAAAGUUAAAUCGGCACAACUAUCAGACCUGGGCAAAAUGGUGUGAGAGCUUGCUGCGUCAGUUUGGAGUGUGGCAUACUGUGUCUGAAGCCCUCCAGUUCCUCUGACAGAUAGAUGGAGGGCCGCAAAUUCGAAGGCCGAUAGACGUAAUCGUCUUGUCCGUCUCUCUUGAGUAAAUAAAGACGCUAGCUGGCAAUCUGACUGCACGUAAGAUGUGGCAUGCUUUGAAGAUAGCCCAUCUGCCAGUCAUCCCAGCCCAGAGUUUGACUGCAUCGGAGGUCCUGGCUGUUUCCCAGAAUGCGAGUGAAUGCAGGGAUGCCGAGGGCACCGGUUGCAAGCUGCAGGGGGAGCUGACUGUCACGUCAUCCCAGGCAGCAUUCCAGCCUCCAGGGGGAGCCAAGGAGUCGGCAGCUGAGAGCUCUGUUUCUCGUGGGAGCCAAGGUCAUCGCCUUUGCAGAGGCCGGAAGGGCAAAGGUAAACAGAGGCAGACGCCUGCAGAUGGCCAGAAGCAGAGGGAGGGUGAAGAGCCCACGCCAGAGGAAAACAAGGUUUUGUUUGCUGGCACAGCCUCACCAAAGGCUAAAGGCAAGUCUGAUGGCCAGGAGCAGGGGGGCAAGCUGCAAAAGCCCACGCCGGUGGAAAACAAGGUUUUGCUUGCUGCAAAGGCUGCUCCAAAAGCCAAGGCCAGGUUUGUUGUUGAUUCAGGCUGUACCCGCCAUGUCUCAAAGGACCGCCACCUAUUUAUCUCCUUCAAACCUCAAGAAGGUGAGAUCCACCUGGCUGAUGGAAAGACGUUGCGAAUUGCAGGAGAAGGGACUGUGAAACUGGCAAGUCUGCACACUACCAUCAAAGAUGUACUGUAUGUUCCAGGUGCUGCAGACAAUUUGCUCAGUGUCCCACAGCUGACUGGGCGUGGUUUUGAGAUUUCCUUCAAGAGGAGCGUCUGUGUCAUCAGAAAAGGCAAAGAGGACAUUUUGCAUGCAAAGUUUAUGGAUGGCUUGUUCUGUAUAACUUAUGAUGACAUUGGUGCUGUUGUGUCUAAUGCUGAUUCUUGUUGUGUUGCACAAACUAACAAAGUUCUUCAUGCAGGAUGCAUUCAUGAUGCACACAGAAGAUUUUGUCACAUGUCUUGGCAGGCGCUGGCCAAGAUGCCAGAGAUGGUUGAGGGUUUGAACAUCAAACCCUGUAAGUUUCACAUGAAAUGUGUAUCUUGUGCAGAGAACAAGGUGAAGGUUGCUCCAAAAGGCAAGGAGUCUAGCAGGCAGGCUUCCAAACCCUACCAGCUAGUGCACGCAGACCUGGUUGGUCCACUUGCGCCCUCUUUGGGUGGAGCAAGGUACUUCAUGGUUCUAAUUGAUUCUUUUUCCAGGUACAUUCAUGUGUUUAUGCUCGAGCAGAAAUCGCAAGCGUUUCCUAAGUUCAAGGCAUUCUGUGCUUGGUUGGAGAAUGUUCACGGUAAACGUAUUGGCUGUCUGUUUACUGAUCGAGGCGGGGAGUUCACUUCUCAGCAGUUUGAAGCUUUCCUGACUGAGAAGGGAAUCCAGCAUGACUUGUCAACGCCUAGAUCGCCAUGGAUGAAUGGGCUUGCGGAGCGAGCAAAUCAAACGUUGCUGCAAGGAAUGAAAACAUUGUUGCAUGAUGCCAAUCUCCCUGAUAAGUAUUGGGGGGAGGCUCUGUCGAAUUUUGCUUACACUUAUAAUCGCAGAUUGUCAUCACCUAUUGGUUGUACCCCUCAGAGAAGAUGUUUGGUAAGAAACCCAACAUCAAGCACAUGAGAAUCUUUGGUUCUGACAUGUGGGUACACACCCCACAGAGCAACAAGCUUGGGAAGCGUGGGGCACAUGGUUUGUUCAUGGGGUACGAAAAGGUGCAUACAGGGUAUGGAUGACCAACUCUAAGUCCAUUAAGUUCACAAAGAGUGUUGAGUACAAUCCUAAGUGGGGGGAAAAUGUGGGAAUUUUCCAGAGUUACCCAGAGGAGGAUGAAGGUGAUGUCAAAGAAGCAGCUAAAGCUGAGGAAGCUGCUGAGGAUGAUGAUGACGAUGAUGAUCAGAGUUCGGAUUCCAGUUCAGUGGGCGGCGCUGCUGCUGAUGUCAGUGACAGUGAUGACACAGCAGACUACAAGAGCGCAAAGGCCUCAGUCAGACCAUCUGAUGCGUCUGACAAUGAACUGGAAGAACCACUGUUCACCAUUGGUCACUUUUCUCCUAAGAAGGAGGAGAUGAGUCCAGAAGACUUGCGUCUAGUACGCAGAUCUGAAAGAGCCACAAAGGGCAGACCUCCAAAGAGAUUUGCUGAUGAGUUUGCUAAGACAGCAACUGCUGUUCUUAGUAGCUCAGAGAAGGUGUGGGAACCUUCAAGCUUCAAAGAGGUUCAGGAGUUAACCUCUAAAGAUGCUGAGCCUUGGCUUAAUGCCAUGAAGGCUGAAGUUGAUUCCUUGAAUAGGAACCAAACUUGGGAACUGGUACCGGUAGUCCCAGGAAUGAGACUGGUUGGCAGCAAAUGGGUCUUCAAGGCCAAGACAGACCAGAAUGGCAAGGUUGUCAGACACAAAGCCAGAUUGGUUGCCAGAGGUUUUUCACAGGUACCAGGACAGGAUUACCACGAGACCUACUCACCCACCGUCAAAUAUGAGAGCAUUCGGCUGAUGCUCAAGAUAGCUGCAGAGGAGAAACUGCAUGUUUCCCAUCAUGACAUUAAUACAGCUUUUUUGUACGGGAUUUUGGAGGAGGAGCUGUUUAUGCUUCCACCUGAUGGGAUGCAGAUACAGAAGGGAAUGGUCUGUAAACUGCGGAAAUCCUUAUAUGGUCUCAAGCAGAGUGCCAGGUGUUGGAACACAAAACUCACUGAGACAUUGCUUUCUCUAGGUUUUCACCAGGGCAAAGCUGAUCCAUGUGUGUUUGUCAAGGAGGAGGGGCAAAACAAACUGUAUUGUUUAUGUUUUGUUGAUGAUCUUCUGAUGUUUUGGAAGAAUCAGGCUUUCUACCAAAGCACCCUAGCUCAGCUGAAGGAGCACUUUGACAUGAAGGAUCUUGGUGAGGUAUCCAACUAUCUUUCUCUGCAGGUGGAGAGGGACCAAGCAGGUAAUUUUCUGGUACACCAAACACAGAAAAUUGCUGAUGUAUUAACCAGGUUGAAUUUGGUUGAUGCAAACCCAGCAGACACACCGAUGGUGACAGGUUACCAGGUAGACAGUACUGCUGAAGCGUUUUCUGACACAACGCUGUACAGAUGCAUUCUAGGCAAGUUGAAUUUCAUUGCUAGAUGCUCAAGACCUGACAUAGCUGUAAGCUGCUAACCUGCUUAGCAGACAUGCCAACAAUCCUACUGUUCAGGAUUGGAAAGCUCUGAAGCGCAUAGCCCGCUAUUUGAAAGGGACUUUGCACUACAGGCUGAGGUUCACCAGUCAGAAGACUGGAGGUCUUGAAAUCUUUGCAGAUGCAAGUUUUGGAAGUGACACCACGGAUGGUACAAGCACUUCUGGAGUAUGCUACAUGUACAACCACUGCCUGUUUGACUGGUUGUGCAAGAAGCAGACGACAGUGAGCCUAAGUUCCUGUGAAGCAGAACUCAAUGCUCUGUCAUUUUCACUCAUGGAUUGUGAAUGGUUGAUGCAACUGUUUAAGGACAUCGGAGUUUCUGUGAAAUGUCCUGUACAAGUGUAUCAAGACAAUAGAUCGUGUUUGGCUUUGCUGAACUCGGAGAGUUGCAAGCAAAGGACCAAGUACUUGCAGAUUAAGCUACAUCGUGCAAGAGAGUGUAUUCAGAAAGGACUCAUUCAGGUGUCCUACAUGCCAGGAAAUGAAAUUCCUGCUGAUCUGUUGUCUAAGGUUGUUAACAGAGAACAACUUAAGGUUUAUGUACAAAGGUUGCAAUUGGGUUGAACCACAGGUACUACAGGUUACACGGAAAGGGGGAGGAUGUUAGGAUAUUUCCGUUCCACCUUAAAAGGGAGCAGGCUUUGUGAGUCAGAGUCUGCGUAUUUCCUGUUCACAGGAUGUUUAUGUUUUCUGUUGCUUUCGUUUUCUCUCUGGUGUCGCAGACACUAAAUCAGCAGGCAGUCAUGUUUUUCUGUGUUCUGAUCAACGCUGAAUAAACUUGUAAAUAAUGCUCUCCUG